rnacentral:misc_RNA from 1 species
GAUGAAGAACGUAGCGAAAUGCGAUACGUAAUGUGAAUUGCAGAAUUCAGUGAAUCAUCGAAUCUUUGAACGCACAUUGCGCCCGCGAGUAUUCUCGCGGGCAUGCCUGUCCGAGCGUCAUUUCAACCCUCAGGGCCCGCCUGCUUGCAGGCGCGGCGCUGGUGUUGGGGAUCGGCUACCCUGCCGUCCCCCAAAUACAGUGGCGGUCUCGCUGCAGCCUCCCCUGCGUAGUAGCAACACUCGCAUGCGGAGCGCGGCGCGGCCACGCCGUAAAACCCCCGACUUUCUGAACGUUGACCUCGGAUCAGGUAGGAAUACCCGCUGAACUUAAGCAUAUCAAUAAGCGGAGGA